CAAGAGUCUCAGUUUAGUUUGAGCUCUUAUGAUUCAGAAGGUGUCGCGAGAGGAAUAUAUAAAGCGCGGGACUCAUCUGUUCACUUCGCGGGAAGUAAGGAGUGUGUUAUCAACAGUUUACCGUGAGUUUAGUUGUUGAUAGGGUUUUAUCGUGCUGCUUAUGGGACGGAGGGACAACACUGACACCCACCGACCACACGGAGCCAUCUUCUCCUGAGGAGACGCCUGUAGCUGUCGGUGAAGAGGAGAAAAGACGAGAAGAAGAAGCAUAAAAAGAGCAGGUUUCUUCUGUUGUUUCUCUCCUCACAAAUCCACCAAAGCUCAGAGAGAGCAGGACACUGAUGUGUGUCCAUCCAGGAGCUGGACUGAUGCUAAAUCAACAUGAACAUCUGAGUCUGUUCAUUGCUCACGUACCAUCACAUUAUACAAAUGCAGUUAACGGUGUUUAGAUCAGACUGGUGUAGUCUUCUGUAGAGGACACUGAUCCUCAGGAGUCUCCUUCCAGUCCUCCUGAAGACCCCUCACUGCAGAGGAGCACAUGCAGGACGUCCAGCCUCAAGAUCAGGACAGUCCAGUCAGUCCUUCACAUCCGAGACAUCUGGACUGUGAAUGAGGUUCAUUUAGUACUGCAGUGUGAACUUAAAAAAAAAAAAACUUUUACAAAUCUUGUAAUAGACCUCAUUUGGUGGACGUAUGCCAUCGUUGAGGAGUUGAAGUCUUCAGGUGGCUGUGAAAUUCACAUCGAAGACAGAAAUCUAGUCAUACCUCAGCCUUCCUGACCAUCCCAGUCCAGUUCCUCCAGAGCUGGCUUUGACAGUCACGACCAAUCAAGACCCUGCUGUCUCCACAUCAUAGAGCUGCUGGACUGCAGGAGCAUCCCGACCAGCCCUCGUCCUGCCUGGACAUCACGGCAAGCUCUUCAGUGAGCAGAGACCAUGGAGGUCAAACUGUUCGAUUUCAGUGCUGGGGACCUUCUGAAGAGCACGCCUCAAAUCUCCUUCAGUGGGACAGCAAAUUUCUGUCCUCCUGAGUACUUUGAGAAGUAUGAGUACAGCGGGAAGCUGUGAGUGCUGCUGUUUAGCACAAUGACCAACCGUUAUCUGUACAGCAGCGAUAUAAAAAUGAUGCGCCGCUGAUGUCUGGAUCGAACCCAGCUUCUCAGAUGAAUGCUGCCGUUUUUUCUUGUGGUUGCCCAAGGAGCAUCCCGGAGCAGAGGGUUCAUCUGGAGGAGAUAGGCUCACAUGACUGGUUCAAGGUCCUGUAGGUCGUGGUGAAGAGGGACAGUCUUGUGUCUGGAGGACAUGCCCGUCCUAUCCACCAUAAAGGCUCCUCUCAUGAUGGUCAGCAUUGAGGAGCGUCAGCUUCUUCAGGAAGUCUCUGGAGGGCUGGAUGCGUCUCGACUGUAUGGCGUGAUCAAUGGCAUCCUCCACCAUCAUGUCAUGGCAGAUCAUCAGAUAUGCCAGAAACAGAGUCGCAGAGUGGUCGACACCCUGCUUGCAGCAAAUCAACACCUUACCUGAGGAAACAAAAAAGAAUUAUGAUCUUCAACAUAAGAUGUUCCCAAGAAGUAGUUCAAGUCCUUUUUGGGCGCUGCAGCGUUCAGAAUGUGAGUGAUGCACAUCUCCUGCAGCAUAUCUCGGUCUGUUGCGGCCUCUCUGCACAAGGACACAAAAGCCUUGACUUACUCGUCUCCGAUGAAGACCCUGGGCCAGACAUUGGUGACAUGUCUUUGUUUGAGCAGUGUGCACUGCUUCAAACGAUCCUCUAGUUGGAGCAUGGUUAAAGGGACGUAGUUUUCCAAACUUGCAAGUUCAGAUAACACCGUUGACUCUGGCUCAAGAACGCUUGGACUUGGUGCACCCAAAUCCACUGGAGUAGCCAGAUCCCAUUCAGGUCGUGGCUUGAGAACGCUUGGACCCGGGAGGUACAGUUCCACUGAAUCAACCAAAUCCUCUUCAGGGUCUGGCUCAGGGACACUUGAACCCGGGGCAUAUAAUUCCAUCGAGUCCUUAUCCCAUUCACGUUCAAGAGGAUCAUCCAGAUCCUCCUCAGAGUCCGGCUCAGGAACGCUAGGACUCGUGGUGUACAGUUCCAC